GAUGAACGCUGGCGGCGUGCCUAAUACAUGCAAGUCGAGCGAACAGACGAGGAGCUUGCUCCUCUGACGUUAGCGGCGGACGGGUGAGUAACACGUGGAUAACCUACCUAUAAGACUGGGAUAACUUCGGGAAACCGGAGCUAAUACCGGAUAAUAUAUUUAACCGCAUGGUUCAAUAGUGAAAGACGGUUUUGCUGUCACUUAUAGAUGGAUCCGCGCCGCAUUAGCUAGUUGGUAAGGUAACGGCUUACCAAGGCAACGAUGCGUAGCCGACCUGAGAGGGUGAUAGGCCACACUGGAACUGAGACACGGUCCAGACUCCUACGGGAGGCAGCAGUAGGGAAUCUUCCGCAAUGGGCGAAAGCCUGACGGAGCAACGCCGCGUGAGUGAUGAAGGUCUUCGGAUCGUAAAACUCUGUUAUUAGGGAAGAACAAAUGUGUAAGUAACUAUGCACGUCUUGACGGUACCUAAUCAGAAAGCCACGGCUAACUACGUG
rnacentral:rRNA from 1 species